GGAUCCAUAGCUCAGUUGGUUAGAGCGUUCGGUUUACAUCCGAAAGGUCGUAGGUUCGAGUCCUACUGGAUCCACAA
rnacentral:tRNA from 5 species